UGCCCCCUCCCCAUGCCCGAGGGUCUCCUCUUAGCAGCGGCAGCGUUCUCCUUACCCUGGCUGCCCGAGACCAGAAGUGCCUUAUUUUCUUGUCUUCCCAGCGGCCACUGUCCUCUUUUAAUUAUUCUGGGGUAGGGAAAGAAAGCCAGCCACAUUGAACUGAAAGCCAGAAGAUUUGGAUUCUGGUCUUGAUUCACGUUCUCAUUUGCAUCGUACACAUCCUUUCCUCUCUCGGAGACCAUUUUCUCAUCACUCUAAAAAGGGGCUUUGUGACACCGGGUGGCCUGUCCAGCCAUGCCUGGUCCAGGAGCUCUAUUCCGGUCAGUAGAUAGCUGGAUCGUUCAUGUCUCCCAGACUUAACCCAAAUGGAUGGAACAGAGGAAGCCACAGUUGUGGUGAACUACAAGUAAACCUGCAGGUACCCGUUCAUUUCGUGGGAAAUUCUUCCUCUUUUCUCACCUCUCUGAACAGCUUGGAUUUUAUGAUUUAGAAAGUGACCUUCAAAAAGGGCAGAGAUCCUUAUUCUCAGGCUCCACAGAAAGUAUUAAGGUCACCCCAAGCAUCCAUUCCUUGACCAAGCUCCAAAGUCAUGGAGAGUCAUUUUUAUGAAAAACUACCCUACCCAUUUGUCCUCCUGGCCUCACCUGACAGCUAUUGGCAUCAGGAUCCCAGCUCCUCCCCAACUGGGGUAGUGGAUCAUUUGCCCCAGGACCCUGAGCGCAGAAUAACUAGGAGUGAACUCAGUGUUGCUGAGCCCUGGCAGGGGGAUUAAUUGCCCACUGGUCUCUGAGCUCUUACCACCCAAUGUCGCCUACCCCAGCUGAGGCGCCUUCGUCCUGCGUCCUUCCCACGUGCCCCUUUGCCCUUGGAUGCCAUCAUCUGGGCACUGCCACCAUGCUUCCUCUUCCUUGUCUUCGGUCAGGUGGUGGUGGCGCUGGUAGUGAGAGACAGUCAUCUUCUUUCCUCUCUUCCCUUGUGUGUUGAGUCAAGGCCCACAGUCUGGGCCACAUCGCCAGCCAGUCUCCCGAUGCGUGUUGACCAAAGAUGUGCGCGUUGACCAAAGAUGCUGCUGCGCUCCCUCGAAUGCCUUGCAUAUUUAAAUUGCACCAGGCCCUUGGGACACGCAAGUUACUUGUUUUGCCUUUGUGGGCCGGCCCUGCCAUGCUUCCCCUUGUCUUCCCAAUGAUGCAGCCUGCCUUUUGUUAAGUAGUGUACUUAGAAAAAUGGCUCUGGAUUUCUUUGAUGUCAUCACCCUGCUCACCUUCACUGCCUUCCAGCCUCUGCUCCCAUUGGGCUCAGCUAGCACCAAGGUCCCGCUAGUGAGCUCUGAGCAGAAGGAGAACAUCCCGGAAGUGGAUUCGAGAAGAUUCCAGCAGUGCCCAGGCAUUUGCUGCUGUUGUUGUGGAUGGGUUUUCUUGGGGUCAUAGACAUGCUCAGAUUUCCUGUGUACCUGAUUGGUAUUCUUGUUUGGCUGAUGUUGAGUGAUUCCCCGGAGGUUUACCCAGCUUGUGUUCUGUCCCCAUGAUCUUGUCUCAUCUUUUUUGGCCCAGAAAAUACAGCCUACAAACCUCCCAGUUUGUAAGAGUUAGCUUCGGGGAGCCAGGAGGGGAAGAACCGACAAGGUUGAGGAUGGUCUCUUUGCUUGCGUAGAGAGGAUGCUGAUGAGUGAAAGCAGGCCUUUUGCGUUUAUGAGAUCCGAGGACAGGCAUCAAGGAAUCCAAGUGGACAUGACCCUGGACUUGAACUUGAGGGUGAUUAGGAAGAGUUUGUGGAUUCUUCCUUCUACUUUGCGGUGGGCAUGGUUGUGUGUGGGGGCAGCUUGUCAGUUAUGGGAAAUGUAUCUCUUGGGGUUCCCAAUCAAAGUGGGGCUCCUCUCCCCCCUCUCCCGUGGAUGCAGCUGAGAGUCCGGGCAGCCUGGGCUUGUUCCUCUGUGUCAGAGAGUAAGAUUGCCUCAGUGGGGCGGGGCCAGACAGCCUGCUGACCUCACCACUGGGCGCCUGGGCGGCCGCUGGGAGGGCUCAUCAUUUUCGGGUUGGUGAGACACAGCGGCGGUCGACCUGGAAGACUCACUGGUGGUAGAGACAUGGCACAGUUCACAUGUAAACAAUGAAAUGAUGCCAUUUUAAGGACCACAGGUGUCCUCCUCUCUGGCUCACAGUCUCUACCAGCAACUCUGCUGGACUCAGCCUCCUCAAUCCGUCCCUUCCUCUGGUAACAAAGAUUUUUUAUUACCCCUUUUUCUUACCUUACACCCGGUGACCUAGCACGCUUGACGCAUCCUCACUCUAAUACAGCCUCCCUUUAUUCUCUGUGAGAAAGAGUACACGUUUUCUGGGGGCAGGAUCUGGUAAUGAACUUGAAGUCAUUCCUGCUGCGAACUACGCAGUCACAUCUGGGACCAAUGGAGACACUUUCUGGGACUCAAGAGGAAGAAGUGAUGUGUGACCCUAAGUAGUCCUCCUACUGUUUCUCUUGUGAAGCAAAUCCUUCUGAGAAUAGAAUCCUGAGCAUCUGCUUCGAGCGACUCCAAUUUCCACAGGGGAUCCACGCAGGAGCAUCCACCAAGACUCGCUUUCCACCAAUCGCUUUCUUAUUUAGAGAGAGAACAUCAAACUCAUGUAGCAUUUUAUCCCUGUUAAGACCCCUGGGAGAGAGACAGUACCAUUGACUCCACAUUACAGACGUGGAGAUUGAGGUCCAGCGACGUUAACUAACUUGCCGAGGUAACACAGCUCGUUAGUGAUGGAGCCAUGAUUUGAAACACAGUCUGGCUCCAGAGUCUCUGUUCUUACCACUAUUUUCAAGUUCCAUUUUACUUUAAAAAAUGAGUCACCCAGUAAGAAAAUCUAGACAACAAAAAGGGCUAAAAUCGAUAUGCUCGAAGCAAACUUGCAGAAUUAGCCACCUUGGGUUUUCCUCCACUUUUCUUUGGGUGUUGGUGCCAUUUGCUGACCUUCGGUGAGAGUUUGCCUUAGAUUUCUAGAAAAUGCUCACUUUUUACCUUAGCAUGAAGCCAGAAAGCCAGUGGGCAAGAGUGUGCUGGCUGUCUUUGGAAGACGGGUCUCUCUUGCUUAUAGAUUUCUGCCUUUGGAUGUGGUUUCUUUAAUUUGCCACCCAGAGCACUGCUUCUGAGUCACAUGACAGAGGGCCCUGGUGUUUCUAGGACAGGAGUAGCCAAAACAGCCACGAGAGCUGAAACACACCUAAGAAGAGAGAUUUUCCCACUAGAACUAGCAUCCCUUGCUUCCAUGGGACUGUCCCUCCCUGACCUGUUGGAGGAAACUGGUCAUUUGUAUUUCUACAUGUUCCGUAGGGGUGCCCGGCAUUCUUUGUGGUUGCCAUGCAGAGUCAACCUCCCCACAGUCCUCAUUUUGGCUGAGAACCUGGUUUUGAGAUAAGAUUUGCAGUGUUUGCCCCCCUCAGCACAGUUGCUCAUGCCUAGAAAACACUGGCACUAACUGUGAGCAGUUGUGUGUCUACACAGAGAUCACUCAGCCUGGUUGGGACUUGGGGGCACGGGGGAGGGGAGAGGGGAAGGGAGGGAGGGGAAAAGAAUGAUUUUAUUGAAAACACUCAACUGUCCUCUGGAAAACCCAGGGAUGAAGAAAAAAAGAUGCAGACUUUAUCAGCAAGGCUAGGACAAAGAGAAUAAAAUCAGACGAAUUUGUUCAGGAAGGAUUGGGAACCAUUGCUUUCUUUAUAUUCUUGAAACUUUAAAACUGCUCUGAUAUUGUGGUUCCUAGUUCUUUUUCAAAGAGCUUUUAAAAAUAAAGAUUCUGGAACAUUAGCUUAUGAUCAUUUCAAGUAUAUUAAACAGA